GACCAUGGUAAAAAUCACCUCGGUGCAGAACAUUAUGGGAAAUUCGUACAAAUGACCAGGAAAGAAGCAAAGUCACGUUUCACAAUAAAAAAAGAAGCCAGAAACUGUCGCUUGAAUCAAACUAUUGUCCUGGAUCCCAACAGGAAGAGAGUUUCAUAUGAUUUUUCUUACUGGAUUAGACCAUUGGUUUAUCAAGUCUGGUGUAGACAUGUCUGAGCUCCAAACCUGGAUGGGAACUCCCUUUCUUUACUGCCAGCUUUUCAAAAAGUUGGUAGAAUUUCUAAUGGAGAUCUGGAUCCACUAUCUAAUGUGUCAGAAGAAGCAACACACUGCUGUGGGAAUGGCUUCUGCCUCACUGCAAUUGCUGUAUGUAAGCUGGACUCCUGAUGGUGAUUUAGCAGUGGAGAAGCUAUGCCCAUCUACAACCAGGGACUAAGGAAUCAUUGCAGGAAGAAGAGCUUUUUUCCCAAGGUUGUGUUCAUUAUGGAAGAUAUCUCACUGCUGAGGGUGAGCAGGGAAUCAAGGGAAGGUCUUCUCCAAGCCUGCGACUUCCACUCUGGCCCCUAUGCGGCUAGCCCUUGUGCAGCUAUUGUUCCCCCUCCCCCGUGACGGCACAGUGGCAUGGGAAAGUUACCAUUAAUGAGGCAAGAAACAAAGCAGCUCUGCCGAGGAACCUGCAGGAGCGGAUUGCCCAGUAUCUCUACGAGAGUUUCCUGGAGAUCUCUGAGGGAGAUUCCCGUGAAGUGAGGGAGUGUAUCAACAGCCUGUUCCACCGCUCAAAAUAGGCAUGAGAUAGGAGACAAGCCUGCUUUCUGCAACCCUCCUGCCCCCAACAACUCGCUUCAGCAAAUCCCCAAAUCAGAUCCACUUACCAGGUGCCUCCUCUUCUGUUUGUGCUUCACCAAGCUCCAACUGCUGUGACUGGGUAGGCUCCUCUGGGGUAGAAAAGAGUUCCUGACUGCAGGCAUCUCUGGCUUCUGAGUCAUCCUCUGCCUCUGGGUCCCCCUCACCCUCUUCAUUCAAGAUUGCCUCCUCCUGGCUCAGUCCACUCUAGACUCGCAGGCAAGCCAAUGAAGUAUCCAAAUGGCCCAUUGUUAGAGUGAAGUGUCCUUAAUGGGCCAUCAACACAUAGCCCUAAUGUAAAUCCAUCUGUGGUUGUCAGCCAGGAAUACAAACAGGUAUCAGAUACCAAUGCAAAGCCAUAUUCAUAACUUCAGCUACAGAGGUGAUACAUGGAUUUAACCACGAUAAUCAUACUUGAUAGAUUGUAACUUUUCCAUUGACACCUUAUAUGACCUACUUUGUACAAGAUUUGUUGCAAUUGUAUAACAGUGGUAGGGACAACGAUAUACACGGUCGUCUUUCUUAUCCACAGCGUCACAGUGGGUUAGUUGCAUUCCCACCAGAAGAGAUUUGUGUAGGGAAAUCUUGAUUCUGUACACAAAAAUCUACAUGACACAAGCUAAAUCAUUCUUUGUUACAGACUGACUUUGAUUCCUAUGUGCAGUCUAUCAUACGAUUAGUGUCAAGAUGAUAGAAUGAUGCUCCCACAUGAAUUUGAUUCCAGCUGUUCCAGGUUUGAUAUCUGUGGAUGACACAUUUAUCAGUGAU